UACGUAGGUCCCGAGCGUUAUCCGGAUUUAUUGGGCGUAAAGCGAGCGCAGGUGGUUUAUUAAGUCUGGUGUAAAAGGCAGUGGCUCAACCAUUGUAUGCAUUGGAAACUGGUAGACUUGAGUGCAGGAGAGGAGAGUGAAAUUCCAUGUGUAGCGGUGAAAUGCGUAGAUAUAUGGAGGAACACCGGUGGCGAAAGCGGCUCUCUGGCCUGUAACUGACACUGAGGCUCGAAAGCGUGGGGAGCAAACAGG
rnacentral:rRNA from 1 species